rnacentral:lncRNA from 1 species
UUGAGAAUCUGUAGCUCACCCUCCUACUGGUAGCAAUACUGGCUCCUUCGUUUGCCUUCUUCUCCACUGCAUAAGGUAAUCAAACAGACGUACAUAAGAUAUAUGCAAAAUCUAUAGAGAGAAAAAAGAGAGCCACACAGAACGUUAUCAUGUUCAACUACCUCUAUUAUGUAUAAUCCUACUUCUUUUGCAAGCUCUUCUUUCCUGAGCUUAGAGCACCCACUCAUUUUGUAUUGCCUUGCAAUUUGCUUUAGCUGCUUUACUGUCAAGGAAUUCAGGUCUGAGAUACUCGGUUCUGGAUGAGGCUCAGUAGAGCAAGACAAUGACUUCAG